CUGACAUGCAUGCGAGUCGACGGGUUUUGAAACCUGGGAUGCGCAAGGAAGCUGACGAGCGGGAGGCCCUCAUGGGCCGCACCACUGGCCUACCUUGAUCUUCUGUGAAGGGUUCGAGUUGGAGCACGCCUGUCGGGACCCGAAAGAUGGUGAACUAUGCCUGAGCGGGGCAAAGCCAGAGGAAACUCUGGUGGAGGCUCGAAGCUAUACUGACGUGCAAAUCGUUCGUCUGACUUGGGUAUAGGGGCAAAAGACUAAUCGAACCAUCUAGUAGCUGG
rnacentral:rRNA from 16 species